UGGAUUCUCCUCGUCCAUUAUAUAUCUUCUUCUAUAAGUAGCUAGGGUUCCUCCUUCACAAAAAAAUAUCUUUUUUAUAUUAUCACUUUACAAAGAAUAUUAUUAAGAUUAUAUAGAUGGUAUAGAGAUAUCAUCAGAAGACGGAGAUGAUGAUCAAGAGUGAUUGGAUUCGAUGCUAGGCUUGUCAAAGUGAGCAAUCUUAUGUGUUCUCAUCUUUGUUUCGUUGUCUGUUCGACCUUGGCCUCGAUCUCAAAACCCUAAUAAGUAAUAAUAUAUAUAACUUCUAACCCUUAUCUAUCUCUUAUGUCAUCCAUGGAUUCUUUUAAUGAUCAUAUCAUCAACUAUACAUGGUAUGUAUGUGUGAUUGAUCUGGAAGACAAUAGAUGCUUUUAGACUCGUAGUCAAGAUGGUUCUUUUGUAUUUUUAACGCUGUCUCAUCAGCUCACACAUAUAUACACAUACUCACACUAUAGUCUAUUUGAUUGAAGGCAUGUCUUUAUGUUCGUAUAUAUACAUGCGGAGUUUCUUUCUUUUGCUUCAAUCUAACGUAUAUUAAUUUAGACCAUAUUGAUAUACUCAUUGACGUGAUGUAGUUUGAUAUAACUAGGCAUGCUUGUUGAAUCUCCGCAUACGCAGUACUAUGACCAUGUAUAUAUAUGCAUACCUGACUGUUAAUGUAAUAUAGUAUUGAUAUACAUGUAUCGUACGUAUCAUAAUGAGAUGAAGAUGAGUCUUUCUCACAACUUGUAAAACAGAGUACAUAUAUAGCAUAUAUGUUAGGAAUCGUUAUUACUUCCUAAUUAAGGAGUUGAAAGAUUGCAUUUGGCCUUUAUUUUGUCCGUAAAGCUAUAUAACUUAUAUGUCAUUUUAAAUAAACAAUAAGAGUUAUGUAUGGGAUGGUAAAGUCAAAGCCAAGGUCGAACAGACAGCGAAGAUAAGAUGGAACUAGAUCAGGACUGCUCCUUUGACAAGUGUUUGCACUGAAUCCAACAACUUCGAUGUGCUUAUACAUAUAAUUAUAUAUAUAAUGUGCAUGGUUCGAUGGAGUGGAAUAAUACGAAAAAACUUGUAAUAAAGCAAAAAAGAAGAGGAAGAUCGAGGCAUAUGGACCUCAAACCCCACCAACCACCAAAAACCCAAAACCAAACCAAACUCACUUCUCUUUAUUUGUCUCUUUGUUUCUUCUCUAAAACCCUUCGGGUAGGUGUGUCUUCGACGCGUGAUUCAUGUCUUCCCACCGUUCUUCUUUUACAUUGAUUUUGAUAUGUUUAAUUAAAUUUUAGUUUUCUUUUGUUUUAUUUUAUAUUUUAAUGAGCUCGAUUUGCUUAUUUCUAACAAAUCCCGACGCGUAGGUUCAAGAAGUACCUCCUUUGUAUAUUGAAAGAUUUUAGGCAUGCAACUUAUAUUUAUUAAUGUUGUGCAAUAAUCUAAUAAAACACAGCGCUUGUACGAAAAAUAAAUAUCUAUUACGUGAAGAUAAAUAGUGUGAACCAAACCGGUAAUCUGUCUUGAAUUCUUGAAUAUAGAAUGAUGGCAACAAGAUGUUGCG
rnacentral:lncRNA from 1 species